AUCUAUAGCCAUACCACUUUGAAUGUGCUUGAUCUCAUCUGAUUUCUAAACUUAAAAAGAGGGGCAGGCAGAGUUAGUUGUUACACACC
ensembl:rRNA 5S_rRNA 5S ribosomal RNA